AUGGGCUAUGGACAUCAAGAUCAGUCUUGUGUCCUAUGGGAUAGCGCGUGCAAUACAACCCCAGAGACUCCUCUCUUGGCUGGGGCCACACCAUUGAUAGAACAGCAGAACUAUGCUACUUUAUUCACCAUAAGGCACCAUAUUCAUCCAGAUCUCAAGUCUGAGUAUUUACAGGAGGAAUCUCCUAGUACUCUGUUUCUGGCCCUCAAAACAAGGUAUGAACAACAGAAGGCAGUAGUCCUGUCAAAAGCACUCCAUGAUUGGACUCAUCUCCGUCUUCAGGAUUUCAAGUCCAUCGGUGAGUACAAUCAUAUUGUUCAUAAGAUAUGUUCCAAACUACGCUUUUGUGAGAAGGAACCUACUGAGGGGGAGAAGAUAGAGAAAACUUUGUCUACUAUGCUCCCUUCAGAUAGGAUGCUCCAACAGCAAUACCGUGCUCGUAACUACACUGCCUAUUCCGAGCUUAUUCACAUGUUACUUCAGGCAGAAAAGCAUGAUGAGCUUCUCGCUAAGAAUGGCUCUCAGCGCCCAGUUGGGGCACAACCUUUACCUGAAGUCCAUCUAAAUGUUGCAAAUAGUCAAAAGUUUAAUGGUACCUCUUAG
rnacentral:rRNA from 1 species